rnacentral:rRNA from 1 species
AGAUUGAACGCUGGCGGCAUGCCUUACACAUGCAAGUCGAACGGCAGCAUGACGUGUAGCAAUACACGUUGAUGGCGAGUGGCGAACGGGUGAGUAAUAUAUCGGAACGUGUCCUGUAGCGGGGGAUAACCUAUCGAAAGAUGGACUAAUACCGCAUACGCUCUACGGAGGAAAGGCGGGGUCGCAAGACCUCGCACUAUAGGAGCGGCCGAUAUCGGAUUAGCUAGUUGGCGGGUAAAGCCCACAAGGCGACGAUCCGUAGCUGGUCUGAGAGGAUGAUCACGCCACACUAGGAACUGACGACACGGUCCAGACUCCGUACGGGAGCAGCAGGUGGGAAUAGUUGGAACAAGUGGGACGUAAAGCCGU